rnacentral:rRNA from 1 species
GACAGGCUUAACACAUGCAAGUCGAGGGGCAGCGGGGUAGUGCUUGCACUACUGCCGGCGACCGGCGCACGGGUGAGUAACACGUAUGGAACCUGCCCGCAGCAGGGGGAUAAGCGGAAGAAAUUCCGUCUAAUACCGCGUAACAACGUUGGGAGGCAUCUCCCGAUGUUUAAAGAUUUAUCGGCUGCGGAUGGCCAUGCGGCGCAUUAGCUAGUCGGCGGGGUAACGGCCCACCGAGGCGACGAUGCGUAGGGGUUCUGAGAGGAAGGUCCCCCACACUGGUACUGAGACACGGACCAGACUCCUACGGGAGGCAGCAGUGAGGAAUAUUGGUCAAUGGCCGAGAGGCUGAACCAGCCAAGUCGCGUGAGGGAAGACGGCCCUACGGGUUGUAAACCUCUUUUGUCGGGGAGCAAAGCGAACCACGUGUGGUUCAUUGAGAGUACCCGAAGAAAAAGCAUCGGCUAACUCCGUGCCAGCAGCCGCGGUAAUACGGAGGAUGCGAGCGUUAUCCGGAUUUAUUGGGUUUAAAGGGUGCGCAGGCGGAGGUGCAAGUCAGCGGUCAAGUUGCGGGGCUCAACCCCGUACUGCCGUUGAAACUGCAUCCCUUGAGUGCGCGAGAAGUAUGCGGAAUGCGUGGUGUAGCGGUGAAAUGCAUAGAUAUCACGCAGAACUCCGAUUGCGAAGGCAGCAUACCGGCGCGCAACUGACGCUCAUGCACGAAAGCGUGGGUAUCGAACAGGAUUAGAUACCCUGGUAGUCCACGCAGUAAACGAUGAACACUAACUGUUCGGCCAGAAUGAUGGCUGAGUGGUACAGCGAAAGCGUUAAGUGUUCCACCUGGGGAGUACGCCGGCAACGGUGAAACUCAAAGGAAUUGACGGGGGCCCGCACAAGCGGAGGAACAUGUGGUUUAAUUCGAUGAUACGCGAGGAACCUUACCCGGGCUCAAACGACACAGGAAUACUUUUGAAAGGAGGUAGCCCUACGGGGUCUGUGUCGAGGUGCUGCAUGGUUGUCGUCAGCUCGUGCCGUGAGGUGUCGGCUUAAGUGCCAUAACGAGCGCAACCCCUAUCGCCAGUUACCAUCAAGUAAAGUUGGGGACUCUGGCGAGACUGCCGGCGCAAGCUGAGAGGAAGGCGGGGAUGACGUCAAAUCAGCACGGCCCUUACGUCCGGGGCGACACACGUGUUACAAUGGCAGGUACAGAGAGAAGCCAGGUGGCGACACCGCGCGGAACUCGAAAGCCUGUCUCAGUUCGGAUCGGAGUCUGCAACCCGACUCCGUGAAGCUGGAUUCGCUAGUAAUCGCGCAUCAGCCAUGGCGCGGUGAAUACGUUCCCGGGCCUU